GAGAUGGUCACCCCGAGCCUAGUUAGUGGGAGUUGAAUGGAUCGAGCCUUUCUGGAGAGCAUCAGGACUCAGCAAUUCUAUAUUUAGGAAUUUGCCAUAAGGAGCUGUUUGGACGGCUCUACCAAGGUGUAUGACCACAGAGUCCACCAGCUUAAAUAUCCCUCCGUAGGUCAUGGGGCACAGUGAAUAGUAGUUGCUGUGACCUGGGUUUUCAAUUAUAUAUAUUUAGAUAUGUGCCCUUUUUUUUUUUUUUUUAGAUAUGUGCCCUUUUAAAAAUGUCUGGAAGGGUGUGUACCAAAGCAAGAAGACUGGAAGUGUUCUCUCAGUAGGGCUCCAGAGAGAAGUUUUCCGUUUAACUUGCCUGCACCUCAAUCUGCUCAUUCUAGAAACCCCUUUGUGUUCAGGAGUGGGAGCUGGCGAGGCAGGCUUCCUGGAGGGAGGUGGUGGGAGACAGCGUUUGACUGUCUGGGAUGGAUGAUUGGGAGGGGCAGGUGACAGUAUUAGCUAAAAUUUGUCCUCUGGGUUCCCCCUCUUGGCCCAGAAGGGUUGGUAUCUAUGUGGGUAGUGAAGACUUUUCUUUCCUCCCGUGCUUUAAUUUCAGACCCCGACUUUGCCAAGCUGUCUGCAUGUUAACACAGGCCUGCUCCGGACAUUUGUCUGGGACUAGCAUAUUGAACCCACUGCCCAUUGUGGGACAGAAGAGAAUUGCGAGAAUGUGACCGGGGCACCAAAACAUCUGGUAUUUGUAGGGCUUUA
rnacentral:lncRNA from 1 species